ACCUUAAAAUAUGAAUCAAUCCAUUAGAAGUAUGAAAAUAUCUUCCCGGUGGUGCAACAGAGCAAACAAGGUGUCCUUUGACAUCUACGUUUCGAGACGAUUGCAACAGUGCCACACACACUCAAAAAAAUGAACUAGGGCAUGUGUUUGAUUAGCAAGCUAGAAUUAUGUUAACAUGAAAUGAUUGAAACAUGUUUUUCGUCAUUACAUGAUUCAUUCUUGUUCAUAAUAGCUGAUUUGAAGAAAAUGCAGAUCAAUCAGAAACAUAUAUAUCAAUCCAAUGAGAAGUGGAUUAAUCAAGACAAUGACUGUUGUACUGUGAGCUAUUGCGCAUGCUCGUUCCCGCCCUUGACCGACCGGAUGACACGGACUGAUACGGACGACUAGCACUUGCUCCAUAUUUAUCGUAUAGCAUCCUUCAAUUUACGAGAAAUACAUCAGAAAGGUAGCUGUCCCCCUGCUCAGAUUUUUGUCUGCUGAUACCUUUAGCCUCACAUGUGACCUGACCUCUAUGUGGCAGUGCAGACAUUGUGUAACCAGAGAGAUUAGCAGAACACAGACACCGAGGUCAGCGCCUGCAAGGCACAAACUGUGCUGGGAGUCUAUGCAAUGAAAAGGGAAGGCGCGGAGCCUGGAGACGAACUAGAGGACGUUGGCGUCCUCAUCGAGGGAGAGGAGGUGAUCAGCGAUCUUGGCAACAUCGGGAUGGCCUUCGUGCUUUUAUUUGGACUGAUUUACUGCCUUAACUUAACCUACCCAGCAGACCUCAAGUGUACAUUCGAAGUGGUACAGAAAAUUCUUCUCAAUCUGGAUGGGCAGAGGCUGUCCUCAAAGGCACAGUUCCUAAAAAAUAAGCUGAUGGAGUGAAUUCCCUCCAGAUAGACAGUCUGUGGGGAUUUAUUUUUAUUUUUAUAAGUUUAAAACUAGUUCAGAGGGUCUUGCAUGUUUGUUGAGCAGAGAAUCUUUUUUUGAUGGUGUGUGUGUGUGUGUGUG